AGUGAACGCUGGCGGCGUGCUUAACACAUGCAAGUCGAACGAGAACGGAAUAUAGCUUGCUAUAUUUGUCAGCUAAGUGGCGCACGGGUGAGAAAUGUAUAGAUAACCUACCCUUAAGAAAGGAAUAACAGUUGGAAACGACUGCUAAUGCCCUAUAUGCCUUUAAUACAUAAGUAUGCAAGGGAAACGCUUUAGUGCUUAAGGAUGGGUCUGUAUGGUAUCAGCUUGUUGGUGAGGUAAUGGCUCACCAAGGCUAUGACGCCUAACUGGUUUGAGAGGAUGAUCAGUCACACUGGAACUGAGACACGGUCCAGACUCCUACGGGAGGCAGCAGUGGGGAAUAUUGCACAAUGGACGAAAGUCUGAUGCAGCAACGCCGCGUGGAGGAUGACACAUUUCGGUGCGUAAACUCCUUUUAUAUAGGAAGAUAAUGACGGUACUAUAUGAAUAAGCACCGGCUAACUCCGAGCCAGCCGCCGCAGUAA
rnacentral:rRNA from 1 species